rnacentral:piRNA from 1 species
UCUCUGCUUGUCUGCACUGUAUUCUGGUC